rnacentral:rRNA from 1 species
CGGUGAAAUGCGUAGAGAUGUGGAGGAACACCNNNGGCGAAGGCGACUCUCUGGUCUGUAACUGACGCUGAGGAGCGAAAGCGUGGGGAGCGAACAGGAUUAGAUACCCUGGUAGUCCACGCCGUAAACGAUGAGUGCUAAGUGUUAGGGGGUUUCCGCCCCUUAGUGCUGCAGCUAACGCAUUAAGCACUCCGCCUGGGGAGUACGGUCGCAAGACUGAAACUCAAAGGAAUUGACGGGGGCCCGCACAAGCGGUGGAGCAUGUGGUUUAAUUUGAAGCAACGCGAAGAACCUUACCAGGUUUUGACAUCCUUUGACAACCCUAGAGAUAGGGCUUUCCCUUCGGGGACAGAGUGACAGGUGGUGCAUGGUUGUCGUCAGCUCGUGUCGUGAGAUGUUGGGUUAAGUCCCGCAACGAGCGCAACCCUUGAUUUUAGUUGCCAGC